rnacentral:tRNA from 1 species
GGCGAUGUAGCUCAAACCGGCAGAGCAGUCGUCUCGUAAACGACAGCGCGUGGGUUCGACUCCCACCAUCGCCU